rnacentral:rRNA from 1 species
UACGAAGGGGGCUAGCGUUGCUCGGAAUUACUGGGCGUAAGCGCACGUAGGCGGCUUUCUAAGUCGGGGGUGAAAUCCUGGAGCUCAACUCCAGAACUGCCUUCGAUACUGGAGAGCUUGAGUCCGGGAGAGGUGAGUGGAACUGCGAGUGUAGAGGUGAAAUUCGUAGAAUAUUCGCAAGAACACCAGUGGCGAAAGGCG